UACAGGGGGGGCAAGCGUUGUUCGGAAUUACUGGGCGUAAAGGGCUCGUAGGUGGCCAACUAAGUCAGACGUGAAAUCCCUCAGCUUAACUGGGGAACUGCGUCUGAUACUGGAUGGCUUGAGUUUGGGAGAGGGAUGCGGAAUUCCAGGUGUAGCGGUGAAAUGCGUAGAUAUCUGGAGGAACACCGGUGGCGAAGGCGGUUCUCUGGGACGGUACUGACGCUGAGACGCGAAAGCGUGGGGAGCGAACAGG
rnacentral:rRNA from 1 species